UAAUAUUUAUUUGGUACAACUCUAGUAUCUUACUCAUGAAAAUUGGUAAACCCCAUUAUUACUACUUUUUUUAUUUAUUUUUCCUAUUUAAAUGAUGAGAAUCGUCACUGUGCAAGAUAGAAAUAGCAGUCAAAGGUCCUGGCAUCUUAAAGAAUUAAACUCAAGACAAGUUCAGGGCAUCUCUAAAGUCUGAACAGAGUAU
rnacentral:lncRNA from 1 species